rnacentral:rRNA from 1 species
AAUACGUUCCCGGGCCCUUGUACACACCGCCCGUCAAGCCCAUGGAAGCCGGGGGUACCCAAAGCCAGUGUCCUAACCGCAAGGAGGGAGCUGUUUAAGGUAAAACCGGUGACUGGGGCU